GAUAACAUGAUGCGACCUAAUUACCGCCCCAGUCUGAGUACCGUGACUGAUUGGUUAUUUCUAUACUGAG